UACGUAGGGUGCGAGCGUUAAUCGGAAUUACUGGGCGUAAAGGGUGUGUAGGUGGCGCCGUAAGUCGGGUGUGAAAUUUCGGAGCUUAACUCCGAAACUGCAUUCGAUACUGCGGUGCUUGAGGACUGGAGAGGAGACUGGAAUUCAUGGUGUAGCAGUGAAAUGCGUAGAGAUCAUGAGGAAGACCAGUGGCGAAGGCGGGUCUCUGGACAGUUCCUGACACUGAGACACGAAGGCCAGGGGAGCAAACGGG
rnacentral:rRNA from 1 species